CAGUUCUUCCACCAAUACUUUCUUUUCAGCUUGGCUGCACUGGUCUCAAACUGGGAAGCUCCCGCUUGCAGCGCAUCAGCACGGUCAUCCAACUCUGACAGCUUCUGAUCUCUUUCCAGCACCUUGUCCACAUUCACUCUCAUGAUGUCAACAACCUAUAUCAGUAAGUUAUCAGUUUUAUUAAUCAUUAUAAAAUUUAUUUGCAGGAAACAGAUGUUCUCAUCUAAGAAAAAAGAAACUCGCCUUUUAGGGUAUCUAAACAUAAGCCUGAAAUUUGCCUGCAGCUGGAAUCCCUACUUCUCAGUGUCAGUAUUGCCAGUUGUGAUGAUAUUCCCUCUAACCUGGGAUGUAAAUCCUGACUAGCACCAGAAUGACUUGAGGCAUUCAAGCACAAUAGUCAACCAUAUGUCACAAAACAUUAGCAGCCAGACUGGCUCUUGGCCUCCCCAGGAAUCAGGACUUGUUGUAUUUAGAGGUAAACCUUCUUUGCUAAUGAAGAGAAGCAAGCUUUUUAUCUGUAAAUCAAAGCUUGUUGUGUUCCCAGCUAGCAUUUGGGCACUAGAAGCUUUUCUCCAUUUAGUGCAGCUGGAAUGGAUUAUUAUUUUUCCAAACCUUUCCAAGACUUAAGGUGACAUACAACAAAGAAAGAUGAAUUAUAAAAGGUUUCACCUUCAUAUCACAGAAUACCUACUUUGGCCUGUAUAUCUAUUCAACAUACCAGAUUUUAUUAAGGAAAAGGAUUACACUUAUCUAGCUAGAUUUUUACCUCAUCUACUUGAUGCUGAGUUUGCUGAAGUCGACGGUUACUGCCAGCAGGCACAUUUGUGUUUCCAGGGACACUGGCUGACCUGCAGUAAAGAAAGCCAUUGAUAUUCUGCUUAGUUGCUCUUAGAGAUUUUGCUUUCACGUUGACAUGCUUACAACGCAUAAGUGAUCUGACCUUCCUGAAAGCAGGAAACUUUGAUUCCUGAAAUAAUCUUAGAGAAGUUUCAUUUCCUUUUGGAAAAGUGAUGUUUCAGCAGCUGUCUAUAGGUCUAAGUCAAAGUGCAUCCUAAAUCUUUUGCCAAUGGAUUGACUGAUGUACUAAAAGAGAGUAGUGAUUAGCUAACACAACAGCCUAUAUUAAAGCAUAUGGCAACUCCUGUAGUGCUCAGAAGGGGGUCAGGUUCUCAAGCACAGGCUCAGCAGCAUUCAGUUUUUCAGUAACAAACUAUAAGCUUCAAAACCAAUUACCAAAGUACAGGAACUUCCACGGUUGUUCUGUGUUCUUGCACAGAGCGGUCAUCUGUCUCUAUUCUUUUGAAACAGUCGAUAUUGAGCAAGAGAAAGCACAAGGAAAAGGCACUUGGCAUACAGAACAGUUAACCUCUACACAGCCACAUUCUUGUUACCCAGUACAACACUGUGAUGGAUGCAGGAGUUCCUGUAUGCAUUUCCCAAACCCUGUUCACAGCUUUAAUGACUUUCUGUUGUGCAGCUCCGGAAGUCCAUUUGCUUUUCUGUGUUUUUCUCUGUCUCUGCAUCAAAAGCAUGUAUUGUUCAGUGCAAACUGAUAUCCAGAGAGUCGAACCUGAGUGUUGUUUAUUUUUACAUCUUUGGGCACUAAAUUCAAAUCUACAUUUAAAGGAGGUGGACACACACAGGGACCCACGCCCAAGUACCCUACAAUAACAGGACAAGGCUCAAGAGCAGUCCACGUUUGACGUAGUUGCCACUCCGAUGUUUUGAUGCUCAGGUCACGCUUCCGUGCUGUUUCACUGCUAUAAAGAUUUAGAGGCUGCUUUCUGAGGAUCCAAACGGAACAAACACAAGAAAAAGCCGCCUCUCAUUGCUCUGCCUACAUCGGCAGCGCCUUCAGGAAAGGAUCCGUAAGUUGGCAAGGCCGCCUGCAUUGUCACGUAUUACUGCUGUCAAAUGCGUUUCACAAAGGAGCAAUUCCAUGAUCAGAAGACAGAAGGUUUGGCUCCUGGCACUUGGGAAUCUGAACUUUCCCGGGAAGCUGCACUGAGUUUAUCUUCUGUGAAAACAGGAGUUCCACAAUGGAGAGAAGGUUGGUGGCCGGGAUCGAGCCAGAACGAUUCCUCCCAUAGGAACAAUCCCAAAGUGACAUCAGUCCGCUCAGAGACCUGCCGCUGCUGCUAGCAAAACAGACAAGAGGAGCAGCUUCUGACCUCAGACAGACGAACGGAACUGUCUCAGAACGGAACGGAACUGACUCAGACAGACGGCGGCUUCGGAGCUGCUUCCCUUACAUUCCUGGGUAGCCGAGAUCAGAACCUGCUUCCCAUUGUUGAGAAUUUGUGACAGUUUUAAAUUAGUACUUCAAUUAAAAAAAAAAAAAACAACAACACUAAUUUCUUUGGCUCCUCACUAUGUGGAAAUAGCAAUAUACCAUGACACCCCUACGAGAUCAGUUUGCAUCUUUUUUUUUUUUGUUUUACUUAGUUUUUUUUUUUAAUUUUUUGUGCAAUUUUUAUUACAUUUU